rnacentral:rRNA from 1 species
UACGUAGGGGGCUAGCGUUGUCCGGAAUCAUUGGGCGUAAAGAGCGUGUAGGCGGAUCGUUAAGUGCCUUGUGAAAUCCUGCGGCUCAACCGCAGAACUGCUGGGCAUACUGGCGAUCUUGGGCCACUCAGGGGUCACUGGAACAAGCGGUGGAGCGGUGAAAUGCGUAGAUAUCGCUUGGAACGCCAAAGGUGAAGACAGGUGACUGGGGGGUGUGCCG